rnacentral:rRNA from 1 species
UACAUGGGGUGGCAAACGUUGCUACGGAAUUAUUGGGCGUAAAGCGCGCGUAGGCGGUUACUUAAGUCGGAUGUGAAAGCCCUCGGCUUAACUGAGGAAAGUGCACCCGAAACUGAGUAGCUAGAGUACGAAAGAGGGUCGGCAGGAAUUCCUGGUGUAGCGGUGAAAUGCGCAGAUAUCAGGAGGAACACCAAUGGCGAAGGCAGCUCACUGGGGACGGUAUUGACGCUGAGACGCGAAAGCGUGGGGGAGCAAACAGG